rnacentral:rRNA from 1 species
UAGGGAAUCUUCCACAAUGGGCGAAAGCCUGAUGGAGCAACGCCGCGUGUGUGAUGAAGGGUUUCGGCUCGUAAAACACUGUUGUAAGAGAAGAAUGGCAUUGAGAGUAACUGUUCAAUGUGUGACGGUAUCUUACCAGAAAGGAACGGCUAAAUACGUGCUAG